UACGUAGGGGGCAAGCGUUGUCCGGAAUUAUUGGGCGUAAAGAGCUCGUAGGCGGCUUGUCGCGUCGGCUGUGAAAACCUGGGGCUCAACCCCGGGCCUGCAGCCGAUACGGGCAAGCUAGAAUUCGGUAGGGGAGACUGGAAUUCCUGGUGUAGCGGUGAAAUGCGCAGAUAUCAGGAGGAACACCGGUGGCGAAGGCGGGUCUCUGGGCCGAUAUUGACGCUGGAGGAGCGAAAGCGUGGGGAGCGAACAGG
rnacentral:rRNA from 1 species